AGCAUUAUUGCAUCACAUGUUUACCCAACCAUGUAUUUUAUUGAUUUUCAUGUGACUGCACAUGGUUACUGGUAUUGCAUAAGAAAACAUAGUGUGAUAAGCCUUGACAUUAGUUAUAAAUGAACACUUGAUAUACUCUUUUAUAAGUAAUGAAUCCUCUUGUAGUAUGAAAUCUCACUUUUCACAGGUGCCUGCACUCUUGUGGAGGUGGCUUGCAGUACAGACCCAUCAAGUGUGUCAAAAUAAUUAAUACUUGCCUGCUCCUACACAACUGCUGCAUCAAGUUCCUGAUGACAUAUGUACUUGUCACUAUUUUUCUGGUAGUUGACAGGAUAUAUCUGUAUCAUGGACAUUAGAUUUAACCGAGUACAGUCAUGAAUGUUCUUACACUUGUUGUUGGGGUAAUGAAAUUUGUCAGAAGUGUACCAUCAUUUAACAAAAAUAAACAUUCUUUUUUUUUUUUUUUCCUACAAAGAUGUCUGAAAGUCAUUAUGGUUUGGGCUAGUUUUAGAUCAUCAGAAUGCUAAAUGUCAAACUACAUGACUGUUCCUCUACAAUAUAACUUUAAACAAAUGGAACAGUUAGGUUCCAGUCCCUAGACCUCUCAGACCCUCACAAAAGUCUGCUUACAGCUACCACCUCUUGAGGAUGAAACAGUGCCCCAUGCUGAUACCAACCCUGCUGUGCUGUCGAGGGAUCAGUGUGGUUCAGGCAGAAUUGUGUAGCAAGAAAUCAUACAAAACUUCUUCCAGCACUGAAGUAAGGAAGUGAGAUUGUCAAAGUGCCUGGGACAUGUUUUGUACAGCCAGCUGCACCAUCACCAGCUCGUCCAUACUCCGACUAAUCUGCUGUUGGGUUUCCUGUGCUUGAGAGAGAACUUCCAAGUCAGAGUGGCCAUCUGAAAUACAGUUUAGAAGCAAACAUGACUACACCUCAAGUUACAAAUGCAGAUGAUACACCAUUGUCAAAUCCAGAGGCCCCUGUGGACCCAGCGACACCAGCAGAAGAGGGUUGGAUGGCUCCAACACCACUGCUGGUGGAAGGCUGUGGUCCUAGAGGCCCUGACACUUCUGGAGAAAAAAAAAAAAAAAAAAGCUGUCAUUACUGCAGGGUAUGGCAGUCCUGCAAAUGUUGUGUGAGACAACAUCCACAGCAUGACCAACUCCACAGCAGUGUGUGUUGUCUCAUCUGGAGGCCCCCACCUGCAUGGAUAUGAAUGUUGCAAUUAUCACCCACUUAGAAGUUCACAUGUAAAGCCAAAUCAACUUGGUGUAAAUCAUGAAUGCAUUAGAGCACAAUAAUGUUAUCUAGCACUGCAGUGGUCAUUGUCUCAGACCUGACUGCCAGAGGUACUGUACAUACUCCUAUUUAUAAUCCAUUGCUUAGUUGGUUCUUGGUUAUGUUUAUUGACUAUAUGGGUAAAUUUUGUAACAGCACCAAUAAUUAAAUACAUGUACACAAGAGCAAA